rnacentral:lncRNA from 1 species
UAUAAUUAACACAACAUAAUAGUACAGUACGUAAUUGGUUAACCUUUUUUUUUCCUUAACCAAUUACGAGUCAGCGGGAGCCUUGUAAAACUGGUAAUCUAUCUGAUCCCUCGCCGGUUUCCUUCGUUUUCUUUCCGAUGAAUCCUGCCUCUGAUCUGUGCCUGACCUGGCAGCAGUCGCAGUGGAUAUACUCCUCCUACCGGAGCUCCCCGCUUAAAAGAUUGUUCUUAACCGCAACUGCCUAUUGCUAUUGGUGGCGUCGUAAAAGCGCCGUAUCUUUUGCGAGAACGACGUCUGUUUCGAUGGCUCGAUUCCGGCCGAACCAAGAGAGACGGGCCGCUUUUCUUCCCAACGCUCCGUCUUUGUUGGUUCGUUCCGUGCGUCGGGGUGCCGGGGACCGGGCGCGGCAUGGCCGUGGGGAUUGAGUGGAGGAUGGAAAGCAAGGACCGGACUUCCAACCGAGGCAGAUCCAGGGGAGUGUGUGCCUGCCUUCGCCCACGUUAUUCUUGUUCUUUCUCGAUAAAGGAUGGGAGGAGAAGUAUUAUUCCCUCCGUCAUGAUUAGUAAACGCGGUUUCGUUUAUAUGUAUUUUUAAGAUAAAAAAGGAUUAAAACGCGUAACAAUCAUUUAAUAAUUGUGUGAGUUAUUAUGCAUUAUCCUUUUAAAUAAUUAGACGAUG